rnacentral:rRNA from 1 species
GAAUAUUGCACAAUGGGCGCAAGCCUGAUGCAGCAACGCCGCGUGGAUGAAGAAGGCCCUAGGGUUGUAAAGUCCUUUCGGUGGUGAAGAUAAUGACGGUAACCACAUAAGAAGCCCCGGCUAAUUUCGUGCCAGCAGCCGCGGUAAUACGAAAGGGGCUAGCGUUGUUCGGAAUUACUGGGCGUAAAGCGCACGUAGGCGGCCUUGUAAGUUAGGGGUGAAAUCCCCGGGCUCAACCCGGGAACUGCCUUUAAGACUGCAAAGCUAGAGGACGCGAGAGGUUAGCGGAAUUCCGAGUGUAGAGGUGAAAUUCGUAGAUAUUCGGAAGAACACCAGUGGCGAAGGCGGCUAACUGGCGCGUUUCUGACGCUGAGGUGCGAAAGCGUGGGGAGCAAACAGG